rnacentral:snoRNA from 1 species
AGGCUUGUUAAAACAUAGUUGCUUUCCUUUACUCAUGAGGACCUGGAGUGCAGUGGCUGAAAAUGGCAGCCUUCUGGGUAGUGCAUACAGACUGUUGCUGGUGUGGGUUGCCCUAAAGGACCUAGACACAGGU